AACGAACGCUGGCGGCAGGCUUAACACAUGCAAGUCGAACGCGAAAUCACCUUCGGGUGGUGGAGAGUGGCAGACGGGUGAGUAACGCGUGGGAAUCUACCUGAUGGUACGGAAUAACUCAGGGAAACUUGAGCUAAUACCGUAUGUGCCCGAGAGGGGAAAGAUUUAUCGCCAUCAGAUGAGCCCGCGUCGGAUUAGCUAGUUGGUGGGGUAAAAGCCCACCAAGGCGACGAUCCGUAGCUGGUCUGAGAGGAUGAUCAGCCACACUGGGACUGAGACACGGCCCAGACUCCUACGGGAGGCAGCAGUGGGGAAUAUUGGACAAUGGGCGAAAGCCUGAUCCAGCAAUGCCGCGUGAGUGAUGAAGGCCUUAGGGUUGUAAAGCUCUUUUACCUAGGGAUGAUAAUGACAGUACCUGGAGAAUAAGCUCCGGCUAACUCCGUGCCAGCAGCCGCGGUAAU
rnacentral:rRNA from 1 species